CUGCCUACUGACUUGUGAAAUAGAAGCUGCUUUGAGGGAAAAGUAGGAUAAAUCUGCUAAAAGUGAAUUUGAAAAUUGCAUGUAAUACUUUAAUUUUCUUGUGGGAACGGCAUAUCGGGCAAGAUCGGCUUUGAAAUGGAUCGGCCUUACUCUCCAAGAUUUAAAAUGUGCAUUAAGGUCUUAAAUUUUAAUCUUGGAUCCAUUGGAAUUAAUUUGCAUGCCCAUAUGUGAGACAAAGGGGGCACAGCUUUGUGCGUGUGAGUAUCUAGCUGCCAGCACCAUUUUUAAAAAACACUUACUUGUUGAAAAAACUUUUCUCGUCAAGUGGUCCUGGCACCAGUUUGUAAUUGUCGGCCAUCAAUACAUAGCAUUGUUUCUAGACUCGCAACUGUGUUAUGACAGUCUGUUUCUCUUUAUGCCAUUACAUCAUUCUUUGUAGAAGCAAAAUGAAUGAAUGUUCCCAUUUUGUCGUAUUUCAGGAAUGUUUUGGCUGCUUGUUUUGAGGUCUCUUAAUCCCAUAUGAAUUUUAGGAUGUCCAUUUCUCUAAGAAAGAAAGUUUGGAUUUUGGUAAAAUUUGCUUUGAUUGAACUUAUCAGUUUGGAGACCUGUUGCCACCUGAUAG